UUCCGAUGGAGGGGAAAUUUGCAUUUCCUACGCUUUUGCAUUUUAUUAAUUCGCCAAUUGACAGACUUAUGGCAAAUUGAAAACAAAAGCGCGAACAGCGCGCCAGAGG